rnacentral:rRNA from 1 species
UACGAAGGGGGCUAGCGUUGUUCGGAAUUACUGGGCGUAAAGCGCACGUAGGCGGAUAUUUAAGUCAGGGGUGAAAUCCCAGAGCUCAACUCUGGAACUGCCUUUGAUACUGGGUAUCUUGAGUAUGGAAGAGGUAAGUGGAAUUGCGAGUGUAGAGGUGAAAUUCGUAGAUAUUCGCAGGAACACCAGUGGCGAAGGCGGCUUACUGGUCCAUUACUGACGCUGAGGUGGCGAAAA